rnacentral:misc_RNA from 1 species
CACAUUUUGGCCGUAACAAGCCUUAACCCCUUCUCUACACGUACCUUCACAUUCUCCUUCGGCGGGGUACCGCCCGCCGUCGGAAUCAUCAAAAAACCCUUUUUGCAUCUUAGCAUCCUACCCGUUCUGAUAAAAAUUCAAUCGUUA